GGUUAUGUUGUUAUGUUUGAGUUUGUGUUUGUAUUUUUGUAUCAUCGUUUCACACUUUUGUUUGUCAUUUGUGAACUUAAUAAAUUUACCACAAUGCAAAGUGAUUAUUUAAUGAAAUUAUUAUUGGAACCUCCAGAUGUUGGAGAAAGUGAGAAAGAUAUUCAUUGAAGCUGAAAAUAAUUGGACAUUUAGAUAUUCCAAAAAUUACUAUUAUAAUGAUAUUAUAGAUAUUUAUACAUAUCUGGUGGAGUCUCACAGUUACACUACCUUAAACAGCAGAUGGAAGCAUACAAAAGCCUUCAGGCACAUAAGAGCCUUUACAACUGGAUUUGUUGUGAAAGUUUGAGUAAAAAUAAUUGUUAAUGAUUUCUAUAUUAUUGUUGGAAAGGUGAAGCAUUCACAAAAAGCUAACACUAAACCACUAGAGGCUUGGGGUGAUAGCCUGUUCCAAUGGCAUAGCAAAUUCACAUUGUAUGUGUAUGGCCGGUAAUAGUGAAGUUUGCAGCCAUAUUGCAGCUGAGUAUGCCCACAGCAAGACAGAAAAAGAAGAACCCAAUGCAUGUACAGAUGUUACAGCUAUGUACAUGGUUUGGAGAUAGCUUCAUCAUGAGAAUUUAUGUAUUAGUCUUUUAAGUGUGUAUUAUCAGAUAUCACAUGUAAAUUGUUUUUAUCAUUUUAAUUUGGUCAUUGCAGUUCCUUAAUCAAAAAAUAUAUUUUUUGCACGAUUAAUCAUC
rnacentral:lncRNA from 1 species